rnacentral:rRNA from 1 species
UACAGAGGUCCCGAGCGUGUUCGGAUUCACUGGGCGUAAAGGGUGCGUAGGUGGUUGGGUAAGUCUGAUGUGAAAUCCCCAGGCUCAACCUGGGAACUGCGUCCGAUACUGGAUGGCUUGAAUCCGGGAGAGGGAUGCAGAAUUCCGGGUGUAGCGGUGGAAUGCGUAGAGAUCCGGAAGAACACCGGUGGCGAAGGCGGCCUGCUGGGCAGUAGCUGACACUGAGGCGCGACAGCGUGGGGAGCAAACAGG